GGGGGGGGAGAGCUAGAAACCCCCCCCCAGGCACUGACUCUCCUCCUGAGAAGGGGGAGGUGCAAUCUCCCUUCAGCAGGGUGGGGGUACCAGAUGCCCCCCUUCUUCAGGGCAAGGGGUCCCCUCCCCUGGUGCAGCCCCCCAGUGGUGUGAGUGGGAGACCCAGCUCCCGCCGGGGUGCAAAGCGCCCAGACUCCCCGACCCCUCCAGCCCGGGGGGGGGGCGCGCUCCCCAGGAAGCCCCCUUUCCCCCAACUGCCGGAAACCACGCCGCGCUUCCUGCCUUUCCCAGCGCUGUCGCAAAUCCCCUCCUCCCUUCCACGUGGGCACCGCGCUGCCGUAAAGGCGGAGAGCGAGCCGCGCUCGCCGGAGUAGAGGGGAGGCGGGUAUGCAUAUAUUAGCAUGCGUAAUAAGAUGGCGGCUCCGGCUCCGACCCUGCCGCUCCACGGGGGCCCGGAUGGGAAAUAAGGGCCAGCUGGAGCGGGGCGUGGCUGUAAAUCGCCUCUCGUUGGGGGCGAAGGGGAAUCCAGGGGCAACUCGGGCUGGGGGCGGGCGCGCUCCGCUCGCCCUGAGCAGUAAGCCAGUGGAGUGGCAUGGCCCCCCCGAGCGCGGCUGCAGCGUGUUGAUCCUUCAGGUUCUGACGCGUGAUGAAUGGGGUUUGCACACGGCUGUGUGAGAUGUGCCGUCCUUCUUUGUUACGACGGGGCACAGUACCCAUCUGACCGGAACCUGGGGGAUGCGAGCAUUAUGGGGUUAUGGGCGUUGUUGUAGGAAGUAUAAAGAAACAACAUUGUGAGCCACAGGGGGUGGGAUUACGUGCACGUGUUUGGUGUGUUUUGUCUGUUUCUUUUUGGGGAUGUUUGUAGACUACAAAUCGAUCCCCCUGAAUACAGCUGGGUUUGGAAAAUACACAAAGGCAAGGUUUUGAUAUGUUUUUGUUUGUCUGUAUGCGGCCAGCGUGCUACUUGGGUACUCUAGAAAUACUCUUAGCUGGUAAUGCUUUUGGACAAUAUUUUCAAGUGUGGUUCCUAAUUUUGGGUACCUAGCUUGGUGUGUUUUAAGGGGCUGAUUUUCAGAAGGUGGGUGCUUAUCACUUUGGGGGAAAUAAAGUGUAUUUAGGAUGCCUACAUUUGGGUAGAAAAUGACUAGUCUUUUUUAAAAAUCAUGCCCUGGAUUUGCAGAAGUCAUUUUUAUGGCUAGGGCUGACAAUAACUCUUGUUAUGCCUUGAGGUAAGAAGUCUUAUCUGGACCCUCUUAAUCUUUUUAUCUAAUUUACAGAAUUCCCCUUUGUUUCCUCUGAAAAGAGAGCAGAAAAUAAUAUAUUAGCACAGUCUCUGCUUAUUCACUUCAAAACUUUACGUAGGUGGCUAUGUACUCUUCUUUGCUAAUUAGGAACCUGUUAGACAGGAGACGUGACCUGGCCGAAGUCUCAAAAGCCAGCUGCAGAGUUGGGAAUAGAACUCACGAAUUCUGCCUGCACUCUACCAGACCAAGUGUAAAUUUUCAAAGUGCCUAAAUUUCAUUUUCAAAGGUGACUUAUUUUAGCAAAUUGGGAUUUAGGCACUUUGAAAAUUUUACCCUGAUUCUGGAUUGGUAGCUUCUAUUGCUGGUUCUCACAGCUGGCUCUUGCCUUGUGACUGGGCAAGUCACUUUCCCUCUCUGUAGCCAAGUUUUCCCCUAGGUAAAGUGGAGAUAACAAUACUUAAUUUCCUCAGUAGAGAUGCUUUGAUAUCGAUGGAUGAUGUAAGGAGGAAUACUAUAGUAUCUAAUUACUGGAUAGGUUUUUGGGACCGUGCCAGGCAACUGAGAAAUCCCAAGGAAGUGGCGUCGUUGCUGAGCUGACCGGACUUUCUUCCAUGUCUCUGCUGUUGAAUGACUUUUCCUAUUGCAACCGACAGAUGGCAGUAGGGAAUGUAUGAAACGAAUGUUCUUAAAAUUGCCAGAUAUCUCGCAACAGUAAAUUUACAGAGUUGUAUUUGGAAUGCUUUGUACAUCAAGGACUAAAUGAUCUCUGCCCCAUGACUCGCUUGUUCUCUCCUGUCACACAGGCUCCCAGAGAACAAAGAUGGAAUACAGAGCUGCUACUGGAAGAGCUGGGAUAGAGGCACAGAUGUUAUGUCUCUGCAAUUUAUCCAUCAGCCACUAAACUCUGAUUUUACUAGCCUGAGAGAAAGGGGCCAAGAAACACUUAGGGACUCAGAGCUAGAGAAGCAUGUGUCAGGCUUUAAUUGCAUGGCUCAGGGAAACAGUUCUACCUGAGAAAUAAUACGAUAUUGUGUCUCUCUGGAUGGCAGGUGAGAUGUCCCUGUACACUUCCAUUCUUCUCAUGCUGUGGCUAUAUUUGUGUAUGUGUGUCGUGAGCAGAUGACAUAUGCAAGCUCAUGAAUUGCAAGACUUAAACAUCCUUUGGUGGGGCUGGAAAUAAGUAGUUGUGCUUUACCACUAAGGAUCAGGAAGAAAAGAGUUUUCACCUUGUGGUCUGAAGAAUGAGGAUUAACAACCCAUGCAUUUUUGUCUCUCCCACUGUCACUGCAGCUUAAGAACAUAAGAGCGACCAGACCAAAGGUCCAUCUAGCCCAGUAUCCUGUCUUCUGACAGUGGCUGAUGCAAGGUGCCCCAGAGGGAAUGAACAGAAUAGAAGCGUGCUUUGUGAUGUCUAAGAGAACGUAUAAGAGCGGAGCUAGUAAACGAAAGGCAGCAAAAGAUGCCGAGAAGGAACUUGAAAAAAUUCCAAAGUUGUCAAUGUAUUUUGCGCUGCAAUCUAACGUACAGGUACAGGCACAUGAAACGGACCGCACUAGCAGCAACGAAUCGUAUCCAGAAGUGCUUCAAGUGAGGUCGAAGGUGAAGCCAGUUGUUCUACCAAACAAACUGUGACAGAUAUUGCAGCUGCUGUCGGGAAAGAAGUAUCUGAAUCACUGACUGAUGAUCCAGGAGAUUGGCCAUCUAUAAUAUCGGACAGGCAAGUAUGUGACAUUGUUGCAUGUGGCCCACCGCAGCAGAAUGAAAGUUACGAGGAAAGACGGAAGUUCACAAGUACUCAUUUCUAUCGAACCAUGGCAAAUGGCGAGAAAAUAAGACGUUCAUGGUUAAUGUAAUCAGUUCAGAAAGAUGCCAUUUUUUUGUUGUAAAUUAUUUGGCACUGGUGACAUACCGCUACAUCGUGGAACAUCUGCUUGGAAAGCACUGUCAAAAAGACUUCAGCAGCAUGAAACAGGCAAAGGUCAUCAAGACUGUAUGGUGAAAUGGUUUGACCUCCGGAUAGGCAUAGUAAACCGUACAUCUAUUGACCAACUCGAAUUGCAGGCUUUUCUGAAAGAAAGAUUUAUGGAGAAAUGUUGUCAAACGCAUGGUUGAUGUUGUUAUUUUCUUGUCCGAAAGAAACUUGGCAUUUCGAGGAAGUAAUGAAAAGCUUGGCAAUCCUUCGAAUGGCAACUUUUUGGGACUGUUUGAAUUGCUUGCAAAGUACGAUACUGUCCUCAGCGAACUUUUACAGAGGAUUAAGAAGGCAGAGACACAUGUUCAGGACCUCAGUCCACAGAUCCAAAACGAGCUGAUUCAACUUGUUGCUAGUAACAUUCAAGAGGCCAACAGCUUAAAAAAGCAAAAUACUAUUCAGUUAUUUUGGACUGUACUCCCGCCGGGUCACAUGAAGAACAGAUGUGUGUGGUGUUACGCUUUGUUGAAUGCAACGGUGAAGAUAGUGUCAAUAUUCAUGAAGCGUUUGUUGGUUUUCUUAAUGUUCAUGAUACAACUGGCGAGGGCUUAUUGGAAGCGUUUCUUGAAAAGGCAAACAACUUAGGACUAGACAUUGCUGACAUGAGAGGCCAAGCUUAUGAUAACAGCGCAAAUAUGAGAGGAAAGAAUAAAGGAGUUCAAGCCCGCAUGCUAGAAAUAAAUGACCGUGCCUUGUAUGUACCAUGUGGAGCUCACACUUGGAAUCUUGUGAUCUCAGAUGCGGCAAAGUCAUCGAAAUAUGCCGUUGAUUUUUUUCGGUCUGAUUAACAGAAUAUAAGUUAUCUUUUCUUCUUCACCUUCACGUUGGGAUAUACUUCAAGAACAUAUGCCAAUAUCUGUUAAAAGGGUUAUCGGACACUUGUUGGGAGUCGAGAAUUGAUGCUGUGAAGCCAUUGCAUUAUCACCUUGAAGAAUUGUGCAAUGCUUUGUCAUCUUUGCGAGAAUAUGCGCUCGAAAAGAUGGCAUUACAGCAACAGAAGCCGGUGCGCUUUUAGACCAUGUUACUACGUGGCCUUUUGUUCUGACUGUGUACACGUGGUACGAUAUACUAUUUCACGUCAAUAAAACCAGCAAAUGAAUUCAGUCACCAGAUGUCAAUUGACUUAUUGCAGGCAGAAGUCGGUGCUAAAAAAGUUUUUGGAAGACUAUCGAAAUACAGGAUAUAUCUCUCUGGUCACAAAUGCACGUGAAAUAGCAGAGCAUAUGGGUAUUGAGCAGGUGUUUCCAGAAACCAUGAUGCGAUGUAAGAAGAGAAUGUUUGAUUACGAAUGUGCUGAUGAUUCGAGUCGUCUUUCUGCCGAAGAAAAAUUCAAAUCGCAGUUCUUUCUUGUUCUCACUGAUCAGGCCAUAUCUUCUGUUUCGUCGCGAUUUGACCAACUCGUGGAGUGGUAUAAGUUGUUUGGAUUUCUGUACAACACCAGUUACUGUCGCUGGUGCUGAAAGGAGCUUCAGCAGAAUGAAACUGAUCAAGAAUAUCCUGCACUCAACCAUGACAGAUGACAGGCUUUCUGCGCUUGCAGUUAUUUCAAUCGAAAACAAGAUUGGCAGAUCUCUGGACUAUGAUGCAUUGAUUAACCAAUUUGCGGAGAACAAGGCUCGAAAGAAGCGUUUUGCGUAAAUACAGAAUACAUGUACACUGUAGGCCUAUGUAUACAUAAUAUGAACCCUGUAUCUUGUAUAAAAUACCGCAUUCCAGUUUCUGCAUUGUAAGGGGCCCCACCCAGACAUAUGUUCGGAGGGGGCCAUGUUCUUUGCUGCUACGGCCCUGAUUGAAAUAUUUCAAAAUUGACUGAUUUAAUUUCAAUCUUUCACUUUAUUGUAAAUUUACUAAAAUUUUGAAAUGGAAAGUAA